UGGCUCAGUGGGAAAAACUCCGGUGGUAUGAGAUGGACCCGCGUCUGAUUAGGUAGUUGGUGGGGUAACGGCCUACCAAGCCAACGAUCAGUAGCCGACCUGAGAGGGUGACCGGCCACAUUGGGACUGAGACACGGCCCAAACUCCUACGGGAGGCAGCAGUGGGGAAUAUUGCACAAUGGGGGAAACCCUGAUGCAGCGACGCCGCGUGAGCGAAGAAGUAUUUCGGUAUGUAAAGCUCUAUCAGCAGGGAAGAAAAUGACGGUACCUGACUAAGAAGCACCGGCUAAAUACGUGCCAGCAGCCGCGGUAAUACGUAUGGUGCAAGCGUUAUCCGGAUUUACUGGGUGUAAAGGGAGCGUAGACGGCUGUGUAGGUCUGAAGUGAAAGCCCGGGGCUCAACCCCGGGACUGCUUUGGAAACUAUGCAGCUAGAGUGUCGGAGAGGUAAGUGGAAUUCCCAGUGUAGCGGUGAAAUGCGUAGAUAUUGGGAGGAACACCAGUGGCGAAGGCGGCUUACUGGACGAUGACUGACGUUGAGGCUCGAAAGCGUGGGGAGCAAACAGGAUUAGAUACCCUGGUAGUCCACGCCGUAAACGAUGACUACUAGGUGUCGGGGAGCAAAGCUCUUCGGUGCCGCAGCAAACGCAAUAA
rnacentral:rRNA from 1 species